rnacentral:misc_RNA from 1 species
AACUGAUACUACCUGCGGGAACCUGCGGAGGGAUCAUUACCGAGUUCUUUGACUCACAACCCUUUGCGAACGCUACCUGCCGUUGCCUCGGCGGUGCGGCCCCGGGCCCCCCGCUCGCUGGGGGGGCGCGCGGAACCAAGGCCCCCGCCGGAGGACCCCGAUACGCAGCUUCUUGCCGAGUCUCUCUCUGAGGUGGCCCUCGCGGGCCUGGAAAACAAGAAAACGAAUCAAAACUUUCAA